rnacentral:rRNA from 1 species
AACUUUCAACAACGGAUCUCUUGGCUUUUGCAUCGAUGAAGAACGCCGCGAAAGUGCGAAACGUAAUGUGAAUUGCAGAAUUCAGUGAAUCAUCGAAUCUUUGAACGCAUCUUGCGCUCCUUGGUAUUCCGAGGAGCAUGCCUGUUUGAGUGUUG